rnacentral:rRNA from 1 species
AGUGAACGCUGGCGGUAGGCCUAACACAUGCAAGUCGAACGGCAGCACAGUAAGAGCUUGCUCUUACGGGUGGCGAGUGGCGGACGAGUGAGGAAUACAUCGGAAUCUACUUUUUCGUGGGGGAUAACGUAGGGAAACUUACGCUAAUACCGCAUACGACCUACGGGUGAAAGCAGGGGAUCUUCGGACCUUGCGCGAUUGAAUGAGCCGAUGUCGGAUUAGCUAGUUGGCGGGGUAAAGGCCCACCAAGGCGACGAUCCGUAGCUGGUCUGAGAGGAUGAUCAGCCACACUGGAACUGAGACACGGUCCAGACUUCUACGGGAGGCAGCAGUGGGGAAUAUUGGACAAUGGGCGCAAGCCUGAUCCAGCCAUACCGCGUGGGUGAAGAAGGCCUUCGGGUUGUAAAGCCCUUUUGUUGGGAAAGAAAAGCAGCAGGUUAAUACCCCGCUGUUCUGACGGUACCCAAAGAAUAAGCACCGGCUAACUUCGUG